CGAGGAAAAGAAACCAACUGGGAUUACCUUAGUAACGGCGAGUGAAGCGGUAAAAGCUCAAAUUUGAAAUCUGGUACUUUCAGUGCCCGAGUUGUAAUUUGUAGAAUUUGUCUUUGAUUAGGUCCUUGUCUAUGUUCCUUGGAACAGGACGUCAUAGAGGGUGAGAAUCCCGUUUGGCGAGGAUACCUUUUCUCUGUAAGACUUUUUCGAAGAGUCGAGUUGUUUGGGAAUGCAGCUCAAAGUGGGUGGUAAAUUCCAUCUAAAGCUAAAUAUUGGCGAGAGACCGAUAGCGAACAAGUACAGUGAUGGAAAGAUGAAAAGAACUUUGAAAAGAGAGUGAAAAAGUACGUGAAAUUGUUGAAAGGGAAGGGCAUUUGAUCAGACAUGGUGUUUUUUGCAUGCACUCGCCUCUCGUGGGCUUGGGCCUCUCAAAAAUUUCACUGGGCCAACAUCAAUUCUGGCAGCAGGAUAAAUCAUUAAGAAUGUAGCUACUUCGGUAGUGUUAUAGCUUUUUGGAAUACUGUUAGCCGGGAUUGAGGACUGCGCUUCGGCAAGGAUGUUGGCAUAAUGGUUAAAUGCCGCCCGUC
rnacentral:rRNA from 1 species